rnacentral:lncRNA from 1 species
CUGGCAACUCCUUGCUUGUAACCUACCUGUUCCCUAAGCCAUCUGCCCUUGCAGAUCCCUGAUUAGCAGCCCAGAGCAGCUAGGGAGACGUGCAUGGGCCUUUGAAACACAAAUUAAAAGACUACUGGCUGUAAAGCUGUUUCUCUUCCUUCUUCCCAAGUGGAUUAGGUUUAUAAAGGAUGUAUGGAGUGCUUUUUCUGGCUGGCCCCACACCUGCUGUUCCCACACAGUAGCUGGAGGACAUUGUCAGAGGCUCAGGGAGUGAUGAUGGCCUGGCUUCCAGAAAGACAGUUGAAAACUCAGCUCCAAGGAUCUGGGAGAAAUUUCCUAAUCCCACUUUUACCGUCAUAUAUGUCUGACCUCGGCACGGGACUUUUCCUCGGAGAGCCUGUAUUGUCUUAGAGCAGUGGUGAGGAAGAGGAGAAAUAAGAAGACACUUGGUAAAGUGCUUGAUACAUAGCACAGGCUCAAAAACUGGUAGGUAAGGGUAAAAAAAGAAAAAGAAAAAAAUACCAGGCCCUCUAGGUCACCCCAGGACGGGAAGAAAGGAGCCCCCAGGCUCAGGAAAAGAAGCUGGGCAAGGCCGGUGGUUUUGUUUUUUCCUUUAAAUUCUCAUGCUUGUCCUUCCUGCCCUAAAGACAAAAAAACGAAAGCUGACCCUCAGCUCCUGGGGGGGAAAAACACCACAGCCUAGGACGAGCCGGGUCCCCGCAGAAUUUUGUCUUCACCAAGCGUGGAGGGACAGACCCUUGAGCUGAUUCGAGGUGGGGAGUGCGAAGGCUUCUUUCCUUGCUCAUUUUUACUCGAUUCAGUUUUCCCCAAAGCCCACGGCCACGCAGGUGGGCGCGGCACCGGAGCCACCUCGGACCGGAGCCCAACCGGCUCCGGGGACUGUGCGUGCGACAGGGUAGUGCGGCGGCGCUCGCGCUGACCGGGUACUGGACCUCCGCCUGCAAUCCGGACGCCUCCAUAAAAACUGCGAGCUCCCCGGCACCCCACCCUCCAGCACAGAGCUGCGGCUCUGAAAAGUCAGCAACUGGAGACGCCAUUGCCCUUCCCACCCUUGCGGUGGCCGGGGACGAGCCAGUCGCAGUGCCUGUGUGCGGCGGGGCGCGCCGCAGGUAGGGGACAGCAGAUCUGCGAAGCCAUUUUCUGGGCGGAUUUGCAGUCAUUUCUACUCUUGGUAAAUCACCAUGUUGGAGAAUUUUUGCCAUUCCCUUCCCGCCCACCCCUUGCAUACUCCGUUGUCUUAACCUUAAUUUUCCAGAGAGAACUGACGGGGAUAGUAUGGCGGGGGCCUGGGGGUGCCAGAUGAUGUCACCAGGAGCAGUUGACCUGGGGGUUACUCUGUUCUCUGACCCUAACCUGCUCCAAGACCCAGCGCCAGACGUCAGUCUUUUCAUCUACAAAAAUGCAAGGAAGGAUUAAAAUCAGACCGUGGCAAGUAUGGGUUUUGGGGAAAUGGAUUACCUCAAUUUAUCCUUAUCCAGUAAAACGGAAAAUAUCCAUAACGCAUGCCUGACAAUUUUAUUUCUCAUUCUCUACCCUAGAAAAAUGCUUACAGCACAAGUAUCCAGGGAGGCUGUCCUUUUCAACUGCAUUGAAUAACCACCGAGAACAGCCCAAAGGUGGACAAUGGGGAAUGUGCAAGUAAAAUAGGAUCUACGUACAGAAUGGGUCACCACCAUGUCACAGUUGGAAGGAAUAAACUGGGUCUAUAGGCAGGGACCUGGAGCUCAAAAUACAUUAAGUAAAGGCAGACAGUUAUGGAAUAAUGCAUACAGCACAGUACAAUUUUUGCAGCACAUCAAACAGAAUUGUGGAUUUUCUAUUGUUAUGUUCAAUCGUUUGUGAAACUAUCUUUGAAAAAAAAGAAUGGGAGAGACACACUACUAACUCAUAAGAGUGGCUGUGUCUGGGGAGAGGAGCAAGGAGUUGUGAUAGCAAAUAAAGGACAUAAGAAACUCCAGCUUUUUUUUCUAAUUUUUUUUUGGUACCAGGGAUCGAACUCAGGACCUUGUGCUUGCAAGGCAGGCGGCGGCACCACUGAGCUAAAUCCUCGGCCCUGUGGGUUCAAUCUUUAGGGCUGAAAUAAAGAAAUGCUGAAAACAAAUACAGUUUUGGGGUUUUUUUGUGAAUGAAUACUGGGGAUCCAACUAGGGCCUAUGUGUGCUAAGCAUGUGUUCUACCACUGAACUAUUUCCCCAGCUGUCUUGUUCUAGUUUUUAAACAUACAGGGAAGGGAGGCAAGAGUGACUCUGUGACCC